CUUGUAGAUGCACCUUUUUACUGUUGUUUCAAAACCACAGACUAAUAUUUUGAAUUUCGCUUGUUGAAAUAUUGAAACGGAGAAAGAUGUUUAUUUAUGAAUACCCAACUCCAGUCUAACAUCAAGGAAGCGGCUUCGCGAUAGAGCGGCAUAAAAGGUUUGUCAAUUUGGUUAAUCGAAUGCUUGGCCAUAAAUUUGACUUAAACAAGGAGUGUCAAGGAUACGCAAAACGAGCCCAGUCAGAGAUACAAAUACGGAUACAGAUACGGACACCGCCGAUGCAGAUGUAGAUGGAGAUGGAGUUGAGGAUUGUGUAUAUACGAUGACAAGCGAUGUUUUUAUGACCACACGCUGUGACGCCAGUAUUGACGUCGACGUUAUCGAUAAUAAACCACAAUAGUUGUUGAUAGUAGCAUGAAUGAAUCAAACGAGUGAGUGUGAGUAUGAGUGUGUGAAUGAGUGAGUAAGUGAAUGAAUUGCAGCUCGCAAGGCUCGCAAAAGCGUCACGUUACUUUACUUCAGUUCCCAUUUCGACGGCUAAAAGCCGUGAACAGUGUACAAAGUACAGGAAUCGGGGCAGAGGAGAGAGGACAGAGGACAGAAGAGGGAUCAAUCAUUUAUGCAUUGGCCUUUUGCGUUUUUAAUGGGAAAUUUGCUGGCGCUACGUGUUUGAAAAUCGAAAAAUAGCUGCGGGGGUUGAGGCGGGGGGUUGCCCCCAACACAGUGCAGCAUGUCGUACGUGGUCAAGCCAGGUUUCACUCUAAUAGAAAAGCGACAAAACAAAAGUAAAUAGAAAAAAAGCAGAAACCAAUAACGAAUCCAAUAUAAGCAAUGGAUUGAAGUAAAUUGAAAUGGACGAGAGAAUACCCAAUAUUUAAUAUGAAUAUACAAAAGAAUGAAUAUGUAUCAUGACCAAAAAGUUAUUUAAUUAACUCUCAAGGAGCUGUCUAAUAUCUUUCAAACUUCAUUUUUAAUAUACCCCAUUGGCUGUGCACAAUUAAUGGGUAUCCAAGUAAUUGCAAGCGUGGGGAGGAGUUUUGGCUAUAAAUGUUUAGCUUAAUUUAGUUAAGUUUGCGUGACAAAAAGUUCUGCAGCAAAGUGGAAACGAAAGUGUGUGAAAGUAAAUUGAACGAUGCGAUAUGUUUAUUAUUUUAUUGGAUUAUAAUUAUGAAUGGACAAUAACAAUUACAGCAAUAGCAACAGCAACAACAACAACAUCAGUAGCGAUAACAAUAAAUGAAAGGGCUCAGUGCGUCACUUAACUCAAUUACUUGGACAAAUAGCUGCAUGUGUGUGGGCGGUGCACAUGUAUGUUUUAAUCAACUGUCGCUCAAGCGAAGUGGAGCUGGAAGGUGGUAGGUGGUAGGUGGGAGGUGGGAUGUGGGAGGUGGAGGAGACAAACAAAUCAAAUUGUUUUCGCUGUCGGAAUGAGGCUGCAAUGGGCCAUUGGCCAUUGACGGCCAUAAUUCUUGGCAAGCGCAACAGAGGCGACGACAGGCGGCAACUAAUAAAGGGAGACUGGAGACCAAUAACCAAUAAGGGAUGCACUAACAACAUCCACACAUCCACACAUCCACCACCGGAGAGCAAGCCGCAAACAAACCUAUAAAAAUGACAAGCAACUGCAACAAACGAGCGCAUCUAACUCAAACGCUAACCAGAUGCCUGAAUCCUAUCUAGAGGCGACACAUUGUCCUUGGCUUGGCUUAGCUUGGCAACAAGCCUUCUCCUGCUCUCCCUCUCCCCCUCCCCCCCUUCAGUAGGUUGCCUGCCAACUUCAGUCAAGUCAAAUGCCAAACUCGAACCGAAACCAUUCGCUUCACACACACACACACACACCGAACCGAGGCGCAACAAAUUGUGAGAAAUGCGCAAAAAACGAAAAUGCAGCAGCCACACAAGCAGUUGCAGCAUGUGGCAAGAAGGAUGCGGAAGGGGUUGCAGUUGGGGGCAAAUUGACAGGAUAUGGCCAUGAUAUGCUCGCCUGGCCCCACACAACAACAGGUUUUCCCUGCCACAAAAUUUAUGGUCUCCAUAUGCAACUAGAGGUAUUCCGUUCAAAUAGAACGUACUUGCGGGGCAGGAGCAGAGGAAGGAGGAAGGAGGCAAGCAGUCGAUGGAAUUUUACGUGUUAGCAGCGCCGCAGGGACAACAAAACAUAACUCAAUCAUAUAAUGGUCACAUUGCUUCUGUGGUUCGUUGCAAACAUAAAAAAUGCUCACUGAUGUCUGCUGCUGCAUUGAAUGAGAUGUUUCAAAAACUCGAUUGAGAAACUCGAAUAUGCACUCUCCUUGCGGUUCUCAAGCAUGACAAAUGAUAAUGGCCUUGCAUCUGGCAUUUGUCCUGAUAACUAACAAUAAACGUGAGCGAACACUCUUCAGCAGAUAAAAGAUAAUCCACUUACGGGGCAAGCAUAACAAGUAAAUCGAGGCAAAAAGAAAACUUCAAUAGUUUUCUAAUAAUUUGCAUCCGCUGGUUCAACUUAGAAAAUUGUAAUACUUUUAUCAAGUAUAUUGAGGUAUGUUUCUUCAAUAUUUCAAUAUAUUUUAAAUACAUUGGAUUGGA